rnacentral:rRNA from 1 species
AGCGAACGCUGGCGGCAGGCCUAACACAUGCAAGUCGAGCGCCGUAGCAAUACGGAGCGGCAGACGGGAGAGUAACACGUGGGAACGUGCCCUUCAGUUCGGAACAACCCAGGGAAACUUGGGCUAAUACCGGAUACGUCCGUAAGGAGAAAGAUUUAUCGCUGAAGGAUCGGCCCGCGUCUGAUUAGCUAGUUGGUGAGGUAACGGCUCACCAAGGCGACGAUCAGUAGCUGGUCUGAGAGGAUGAUCAGCCUCACUGGGACUGAGACACGGCCCAGACUCCUACGGGAGGCAGCAGUGGGGAAUAUUGGACAAUGGGCGCAAGCCUGAUCCAGCCAUGCCGCGUGGAUGAUGAAGGCCCUAGGGUUGUAAAGUCCUUUCGGCGGGGAAGAUAAUGACGGUACCCGCAGAAGAAGCCCCGGCUAACUUCGUGCCAGCCGCCGCCGUAACAC